UGAGAUAGAGGAUGCGCUUGAUCAUCAGUAGAUGUCCUGCAGGAUAUGCAGAUCCGGGACAGACGAAAGGGAUCGGCGCCGAAGUGAAGACGGGCUGCAGUCCCUCUGAGCUGGGAGUAUGGAUAAUAUCCAUGCGACUGUCGCGAAGAAACGCGGAGAGCUAUCC
rnacentral:ncRNA from 1 species